GACGUAGGGCGCGAGCGUUGUCCGGAUUUAUUGGGCGUAAAGAGCUCGUAGGCGGUGUGUCACGUCGGCCGUGAAAACCUGCAGCUUAACUGUGGGCGUGCGGUCGAUACGGGCAUCACUGGAGUUCGGCAGGGGAGACUGGAAUUCCUGGUGUAGCGGUGAAAUGCGCAGACAUCAGGAGGAACACCGGUGGCGAAGGCGGGUCUCUGGGCCGAUACUGGACGCUGAGGAGCGAAAGCGUGGGGAGCAAACAGG
rnacentral:rRNA from 1 species